rnacentral:rRNA from 1 species
GACGAACGCUGGCGGCGUGCUUAACACAUGCAAGUCGAACGGGAUCCGGGCUUUCGGGUUUGGUGAGAGUGGCGAACGGGUGAGUAACACGUGAGUAACCUGCCCCCUUCUUUGGGAUAACGUCGGGAAAUCGGCGCUAAUACUGGAUAUUCUUGCUGCAUCGCAUGGUGUGGUUUGGAAAGGGUUUCUGGUGGGGGAUGGGCUCGCGGCCUAUCAGCUUGUUGGUGGGGUGAUGGCCUACCAAGGCUUUGACGGGUAGCCGGCCUGAGAGGGUGUCCGGCCACACUGGGACUGAGACACGGCCCCGACUCCUACGGGAGGCAGCCGUGGGGAAUAUUGCACAAUGGGCGCAAGCCUGAUGCAGCGACGCCGCGUGAGGGAUGCCGGCCUUCGGGUUGUAAACCUCUUUCAGUAUGGAACAAGGAUCCUUCUUUUGGGGGGUUUGAGGGUACGUGCAGAAGAAGCGCCGGCUAACUACGUG